UAUUGUUUCCAAGAGACCCCCAUGGAUACCAGAAUCUGUGGAUGUUCAAGUCUCUAAUACAAAAGGGGAGAGUAUCUGCAUAUAACCUAUGCACAUCCUCCUCCAGACUCUA